rnacentral:rRNA from 1 species
AUUAGACAGGUGCUGCAUGGCUGUCGUCAGCUCGUGUUGUGAAAUGUUGGGUUAAGUCCCGCAACGAGCGCAACCCUUAUCCUUUGUUGCCAGCGAUUCGGUCGGGAACUCAAAGGAGACUGCCGGUGAUAAACCGGAGGAAGGUGGGGAUGACGUCAAGUCAUCAUGGCCCUUACGAGUAGGGCUACACACGUGCUACAAUGGCGUAUACAAAGAGAAGCGACCUCGCGAGAGCAAGCGGAACUCAUAAAGUACGUCGUAGUCCGGAUUGGAGUCUGCAACUCGACUCCAUGAAGUCGGAAUCGCUAGUAAUCGUAGAUCAGAAUGCUACGGUGAAUACGUUCCCGGGUCUUGUACACACCG